GACGAACGCUGGCGGCAUGCCUAAUACAUGCAAGUCGAGCGAACAGAUGAAGUGCUUGCACUUCUGACGUUAGCGGCGAACGGGUGAGUAACACGUAAGGAAUCUACCUAUAAGCGGGGGAUAACCUUCGGAAACGGGUGCUAAUACCGCAUAAUAUCUUCUUCCGCAUGGAAGAAGAUUGAAAGACGGCUCUGCUGUCACUUAUAGAUGACCUUGCGGUGCAUUAGUUAGUUGGUGGGGUAAUGGCCUACCAAGACGAUGAUGCAUAGCCGACCUGAGAGGGUGAUCGGCCACAGUGGGACUGAGACACGGCCCAAACUCCUACGGGAGGCAGCAGUAGGGAAUCUUCCGCAAUGGGCGAAAGCCUGACGGAGCAAUGCCGCGUGAGUGAAGAAGGCCUUCGGGUCGUAAAACUCUGUUAUAAGAGAAGAACAAAUUGUAGAGUAACUGCUACAGUCUUGACGGUAUCUUAUCAGAAAGCCACGGCUAACUACGUGCCAGCAGCCGCAGUAA
rnacentral:rRNA from 1 species